rnacentral:rRNA from 1 species
GUGGAUUAGAUACCCUGGUAGUCCACGCCGUAAACGGUGGGUACUAGGUGUGGGUUUCCUUCCUUGGGAUCCGUGCCGUAGCUAACGCAUUAAGUACCCCGCCUGGGGAGUACGGCCGCAAGGCUAAAACUCAAAGAAAUUGACGGGGGCCCGCACAAGCGGCGGAGCAUGUGGAUUAAUUCGAUGCAACGCGAAGAACCUUACCUGGGUUUGACAUGCACAGGACGUGCCUAGAGAUAGGUAUUCCCUUGUGGCCUGUGUGCAGGUGGUGCACGGUUGUCGACAACU